rnacentral:rRNA from 1 species
CAGCAGCCGCGGGAAUACGGAGGGGGCUAGCGUUGUUCGGAAUUACUGGGCGUAAAGCGCACGUAGGCGGCUUGGUAAGUUAGAGGUGAAAGCCCGGAGCUCAACUCCGGAAUUGCCUUUAAGACUGCCGAGCUAGUAGGUGAGAGAGGUAAGUGGAAUUCCGAGUGUAGAGGUGAGAUUCGUAGAUAUUCGGAAGAACACCAGUGGCGAAGGCGGCUUACUGGCUCAUUCUAGACGCUGAGGUGCGAAAGCGUGGGGAGCAAACAGGAUUAGAUACCCCCGUAGUCCCUGUCUCUUAUAC